rnacentral:rRNA from 1 species
UGGGGAAUCUUGCACAAUGGGCGACAGCCUGAUGCAGCAAUGCCGCGUGAGGGAAGACGGCCUUCGGGUUGUAAACCUCUUUCAGUUGGGAUGAAGGUCGUACGGUGAACAGCCGUCCGACUGACCGUACCUUCAGAAUAAGCCUCGGCUAACUACGUGCCAGCAGCCGCGGUAAAACGUAGGAGGCGAGCGUUAUCCGGAUUUACUGGGCGUAAAGCGCGUGCAGGCGGAUUGGAGAGUUGGAUGUGAAAGCUCCCGGCUUAACUGGGAGAGGUCGUUCAAUACUUCCAGUCUUGAGUGCAGUAGAGGGAAGUGGAAUUCCGGGUGUAGUGGUGAAAUGCGUAGAUAUCCGGAGGAACACCAGUGGCGAAAGCGGCUUCCUGGACUGUAACUGACGCUCAGACGCGAAAGCUAGGGUAGCAAACG